CCUACGGGAGGCAGCAGUGAGGAAUAUUGGUCAAUGGCCGGGAGGCUGAACCAGCCAAGUCGCGUGAGGGAAGAAUGUGCUGAGCGUUGUAGACCUCUUUUGUCGGGGGACAAAAUCACCGACGGGUGCGUGUCGGAGGGUACCUGGAGAAAAAGCAUCGGCUAACUCCGUGCCAGCAGCCGCGGUAAUACGGAGGAUGCGAGCGUUAUCCGGAUUCAUUGGGUUUAAAGGGUGCGUAGGCGGGCCAUGAAGCCAGCGGUAAAAGCGCGGAGCUCAACCCCGUCGAGCCGUCGGAACUGAGGACCUUGAGUGGGGCAGAGGCAUGCGGAAUGCGUGGUGUAGCGGUGAAAUGCAUAGAUAUCACGCAGAACCCCGAUUGCGAAGGCAGCAUACCGUGGCGCCACUGACGCUGAAGCACGAAAGCGUGGGUAUCGAACAGGAUUAGAUACCCGGGUAGUC
rnacentral:rRNA from 1 species